rnacentral:rRNA from 1 species
UACAUGUGGGGCAAGCGUUGUUCGGAAUUACUGGGCAUAAAGGGUGCGUAGGUGGCUUGUUAAGUCAGGGAUGAAAGUUUUCGGCCCAACCGGAAAAUGGCCUUUGAUACUGGCGAGCUCGAGUGCGUGAGGGGUAACCGGAACGAGCAGUGUAGCGGUGAAAUGCGUAGAUAUUGCUCGGAAGGCCAACGGCGAAGGCAGGUUACUGGUGCGCAACUGACACUGAGGCACGAAAGCGUGGGGAGCAAACAGG